AUUGAACGCUGGCGGCAGGCUUAACACAUGCAAGUCGAGCGGGGGAAGGUAGCUUGCUACCGGACCUAGCGGCGGACGGGUGAGUAAUGCUUAGGAAUCUGCCUAUUAGUGGGGGACAACAUCUCGAAAGGGAUGCUAAUACCGCAUACGUCCUACGGGAGAAAGCAGGGGAUCUUCGGACCUUGCGCUAAUAGAUGAGCCUAAGUCGGAUUAGCUAGUUGGUGGGGUAAAGGCCUACCAAGGCGACGAUCUGUAGCGGGUUUGCGAGGAUGAUCCGCCACACUGGGACCGGGACACGGCCCAGACUCCUACGGGACGCAGCAGUGGGGAAUAUUGGACAAUGGGGGGAACCCUGAUCCAGCCAUGCCGCGUGUGUGAAGAAGGCCUUAUGGUUGUAAAGCACUUUAAGCGAGGAGGAGGCUACUUUAGUUAAUACCUAGAGAUAGUGGACGUUACUCGCAGAAUAAGCACCGGCUAACUCUGUGCCAGCAGCCGCGGUAA
rnacentral:rRNA from 1 species